rnacentral:rRNA from 1 species
CGGAUCUGUUGAUAGGCUUGGAAAGUUUUUCAAUGAAAGGGAUAAGAAAAAUGGUUCUUAUUUGCCAUAGGAUAGGAUCGUGGUCGAUUAUGGUUGUUGGUGAGGUAACGGCUCACCAAGCCGAUAAUCGAUAGGGGCCGUGAGAGCGGGAGCCCCGAGAUGGGUACUGAGACAACGACCCAGGCCUUACGAGGCGCAGCAGGCGCGGAACCUCCGCAAUACACGAAAGUGUGACGGGGUUACCCAAAGUGUUCAUUAUUGAACUGUGGUAGGUGAGUAAUGUUCCCUACUAGAAAGGAGAGGGCAAGGCUGGUGCCAGCCGCCGCGGUAAAACCAGCUCUUCAAGUGGUCGGGAUGAUUAUUGGGCUUAAAGUGUCCGUAGCCGGUUUAGUAAGUUCCUGGUAAAAUCGGGUAGCUUAACUAUCCGUAUGCUAGGAAUACUGCUAUACUAGAGGGCGGGAGAGGUCUGAGGUACUAUAGGGGUAGGGGUGAAAUCCUAUAAUCCUUGUAGGACCACCAGUGGCGAAGGCGUCAGACUGGAACGCGCCUGACGGUGAGGGACGAAAGCCAGGGGAGCGAACCGGAUUAGAUACCCGGGUAGUCCUGGCCGUAAACGAUGCAUACUAGGUGAUGGCACGGCCAUGAGCCGU